rnacentral:rRNA from 2 species
GACCUGAGAGGGUGAUCGGCCACACUGGGACUGAGACACGGCCCAGACUCCUACGGGAGGCAGCAGUAGGGAAUCUUCCGCAAUGGACGAAAGUCUGACGGAGCAACGCCGCGUGAGUGAUGAAGGUUUUCGGAUCGUAAAGCUCUGUUGCCAGGGAAGAACGCCUAGGAGAGUAACUGCUCUUAGGGUGACGGUACCUGAGAAGAAAGCCCCGGCUAACUACGUGCCAGCAGCCGCGGUAAUACGUAGGGGGCGAGCGUUGUCCGGAAUUAUUGGGCGUAAAGCGCGCGCAGGCGGCAAUGUAAGUUGGGUGUUUAAACCUAGGGCUCAACCUUGGGUCGCAUCCAAAACUGC